ACAGUGUCUGGUGGGUAGUUUGACUGGGGCGGUCUCCUCCUAAAGAGUAACGGAGGAGCACGAAGGUUGGCUAAUCCUGGUCGGACAUCAGGAGGUUAGUGCAAUGGCAUAAGCCAGCUUGACUGCGAGCGUGACGGCGCGAGCAGGUGCGAAAGCAGGUCAUAGUGAUCCGGUGGUUCUGAAUGGAAGGGCCAUCGCUCAACGGAUAAAAGGUACUCCGGGGAUAACAGGCUGAUACCGCCCAAGAGUUCAUAUCGACGGCGGUGUUUGGCACCUCGAUGUCGGCUCAUCACAUCCUGGGGCUGAAGUAGGUCCCAAGGGUAUGGCUGUUCGCCAUUUAAAGUGGUACGCGAGCUGGGUUUAGAACGUCGUGAGACAGUUCGGUCCCUAUCUGCCGUGGGCGCUGGAGAACUGAGGGGGGCUGCUCCUAGUACGAGAG
rnacentral:rRNA from 1 species